UGGGGAAUAUUGCGCAAUGGACGAAAGUCUGACGCAGCGACGCCGCGUGUGGGAUGAAGCCUUUCGGGGCGUAAACCACUGUUGCCCGGGACGAAACUCCUUUUUCGAGAGGAUUGACGGUACCGGGUGAGGAAGCACCGGCUAACUCUGUGCCAGCAGCCGCGGUAAUACAGAGGGUGCGAGCGUUGUCCGGAAUCACUGGGCGUAAAGGGCGCGUAGGUGGCUGGGUAAGCGUGUGGUGAAAGUCCGG
rnacentral:rRNA from 1 species